rnacentral:rRNA from 1 species
UACGUAGGGUGCGAGCGUUGUCCGGAAUUACUGGGCGUAAAGAGCUCGUAGGUGGUUUGUCGCGUUGUUCGUGAAAACUCACAGCUUAACUGUGGGCGUGCGGGCGAUACGGGCAGACUGGAGUACUGCAGGGGAGACUGGAAUUCCUGGUGUAGCGGUGGAAUGCGCAGAUAUCAGGAGGAACACCGGUGGCGAAGGCGGGUCUCUGGGCAUUACCUGACGCUGAGGAGCGAAAGCAUGGGGAGCGAACAGG